CAGCAGCGCGGUAAUACGAAGGGGGCUAGCGUUGUUCGGAAUUACUGGGCGUAAAGCGCACGUAGGCGGACAUUUAAGUCAGGGGUGAAAUCCCGGGGCUCAACCCCGGAACUGCCUUUGAUACUGGGUGUCUAGAGUAUGGAAGAGGUGAGUGGAAUUCCGAGUGUAGAGGUGAAAUUCGUAGAUAUUCGGAGGAACACCAGUGGCGAAGGCGGCUCACUGGUCCAUUACUGACGCUGAGGUGCGAAAGCGUGGGGAGCAAACAGGAUUAGAUACCCCAGUAGUCCCUGUCUCUUAUACA
rnacentral:rRNA from 1 species